UCUGUAUGUGUGUGUCUGUGUCUGUGUGUGUGUGCGUGCGUCUCCAGGCCUAGUGUGUGACCGCACGGACGGACGCACGCACGGGGACAGAGGGGAGCGUUCGUGAUACGUCCCACAGCACACCAGCUUUACCUCCGACUCCCGAGUCUUGAGAACCCCCUCUAGGGGAGUUGGGCGACCGACGUGUGAACGGAAAAGGGAGGAGGAGGAGGAGGAGGAAAACUCCGCCGAGUUUUGAGAGUUAAUGACCUAGACAUUUUGUGACAGUAGUGAAGGGAAGGUGAGGAAGGAAGGGGUGCGCAACGUAUGCAGCAGCAUGUGCCCCUAAAUACCCCCGUCCAUUAUUUCUGGAGGCGCCGUGAAGACAUUCGCUAUAACGUCACGCCUCGUUGGAAGAAAAACAGGAUAAGGCACAAGCCUCGGGGAUUGGAUUCUGAAACCCCACGAGUCCGAGAGAGAAAGAAGGGAGAGAGGAGAGACGGAGAGGGAGAGGGAUAGAGAGAGGAAGAGAGCGAGAGAGAGAAAAUAUUUCUGAAGAAAGAAGCAGGGACUGUUAUGACAUGUCACCCGAAGCUUUUGGAAGGUAAGAGCGACGGAGAUAGAGCGAGAGAUCCAGAGAGAUAGAGAAAAG